GCUCUGCUCCGCUUUAUAUAAGAAGAGCGGCCUCCUCCUCCACAAGCACACACACCAAAACAAAACUCCAGCAGCUCACACAGAGGCACAGACACAGAGAGAGAACUGCCUCGAGGUCCCGGCUUGGAUCCGGAGCCUCCCCUCUUGGCGGCGCCGGAAGAGAACUCCAACACAGAACAAGCACUCAAAGCCUCGGGGAAUGCUGAAAGAUGUGCUUGCUUAGAAGAAAUUUCACCUGCGCAAUAAAGGAGAUUGCCUCUUCUCCACAGGAGCUGAGUUGGUCGACUCUUUAUGUGAGCAACCAUCUUGUUUGCAUCAGCUCUGCACCAUCUAGACUCCGUCGAGAGAAAGACAUGAGAGUGUUGUUCAUCGUAGUGGAUCAAGACUACCUUGGAGAGGAUGGUUGAAGUGCUGCAGUCCAUUUGAAUUAUAGCCGCAAUAUAGGCUGUGGUUUUAUGCAACUUGAAGUCAUGGCAAACAGAGGGAAGAUUCUAAUGGAGCGGUACGAGCUGGGAAGAUUGUUGGGGAAAGGAACAUUUGGCAAGGUACACUAUGCAAGGAGCCUAGAGUCGAACCGAAGCGUCGCCAUAAAGAUGCUGGACAAGGAGAAGGUGCUCAAGGUUGGGCUCUCGGAGCAAAUCAGGCGUGAGGUCACAACCAUGCGGUUGGUGGCACACAAGAACAUUGUUCAGCUUCAUGAGGUCAUGGCGACACGAAACAAAAUAUACUUUGUCAUGGAGUAUGUGAAAGGCGGUGAGCUCUUUGACAAGGUUGCAAAGAGUGGCAAGCUCACAGAGGGUGCUGCACAUAAGUAUUUCCAGCAGCUCAUCAGUGCAGUGGAUUACUGCCACAGCCAAGGCGUGUAUCACCGGGAUCUCAAGCUGGAGAACCUGCUCCUGGAUGAGAAUGAGAACCUUAAGGUCUCGGAUUUUGGAUUGAGCGCACUUUCAGAGUCAAAGAGGCAAGAUGGCUUGCUGCACACCACCUGCGGAACACCCGCAUAUGUAGCUCCGGAGGUCAUCAGCAAGACAGGUUAUGAUGGUGCGAAAUCAGAUAUCUGGUCUUGUGGUGUUAUCCUUUUUGUUCUUGUUGCUGGUUAUCUCCCUUUCCAUGGUUCCAACUUGAUGGACAUGUACCGGAAGAUUGAGCAAGGAGAUUUCAGGUGCCCCAGCUGGUUCUCACACAAACUCCAGAAGCUCUUGUUCAAGAUUCUGGACCCCAAUCCAAGCACCAGGGCAUCUAUCCAGAAGAUAAAAGAGUCUACCUGGUUCCGGAAAGGUCCAAGGGGAACCCUUGCAGUGAAGGAGAGAACUCCCAGUGAGAACGUCACCACAAAUGCUCCUCCUACAGCUGGUGUGAGGCCAAGGAAGAACACUCAUGAAGAUGUGAAGCCCCUGAUGGUGACAAACUUAAAUGCCUUUGAGAUCAUCUCCUUCUCCACGGGGUUUGACCUGUCUGGCCUAUUCAUCCGAGAGGAGUGCAGAAAGGAGACAAGGUUCACUUCAGACAAGCCUGCUUCAGCCAUCAUCUCGAAGCUGGAAUAUGUUGCGAAAGCGCUGAAUCUCAGGGUAAGGAAGAAGGACAAUGGCGUGGUGAAGAUGCAAGCGAGGAAGGAAGGAAGGAAUGGUGCUGUUCAGUUAGACAUGGAGAUCUUCGAGAUCACACCUUCCCACCACCUCAUUGAGAUGAAACAAACAAGUGGUGAUCCACUGGAGUACCGGGAGCUAUUGGAGGACAUCCGGCCAGCGCUGAAGGACAUAGUCUGGGCCUGGCACGGAGAUGACCACCACCAGCAGCUAGAGUAGGUUUUGGAAUCUUGAGUAUUUAGUUUUGGUUCUGCGAAUUCGUCCAGUUUUCAGCUGGAACGAUCCUAUUUUACAUGCGUGUGUUCUUUGUACAAAAUAUAUUUUUUCCUACAUGAGGUGAGGCAUUCUGUUCGAGGCAUUGUUGAGAAGUUGAAAUGCAUAAUAAAGGUUGUUCCUGUUUAGUUGCUGU
rnacentral:rRNA from 1 species